UACGUAGGUGGCAAGCGUUGUCCGGAAUUAUUGGGCGUAAAGCGCGCGCAGGCGGUCCUUUAAGUCUGAUGUGAAAGCCCCGGGCUCAACCUGGGAAUGGCCGUUGAAACUGGCGAACUGGAGUGUGGCAGAGGGGGGUGGAAUUCCGCGUGUAGCAGUGAAAUGCGUAGAGAUGCGGAGGAACACCGAUGGCGAAGGCAGCCCCCUGGGCUGGCACUGACGCUGAGGCACGAAAGCCAGGGGAGCAAACGGG
rnacentral:rRNA from 1 species